UACGUAGGGGGCAAGCGUUGUCCGGAUUUAUUGGGCGUAAAGAGCGUGUAGGCGGCCAGACAGGUCCGUUGUGAAAACUCGAGGCUCAACCUCGAGAUGUCGGUGGAAACCGUCUGGCUAGAGUCCGGAAGAGGAGUGUGGAAUUCCUGGUGUAGCGGUGAAAUGCGCAGAUAUCAGGAAGAACACCUAUGGCGAAGGCAGCACUCUGGGACGGUACUGACGCUGAGACGCGAAAGCGUGGGGAGCGAACAGG
rnacentral:rRNA from 1 species